rnacentral:tRNA from 1 species
GGGUGUGUGGCUCAGCAGUAGAGCACUUGCUUAGCAUGCAAGAGGCCCUGGGUUCCAUCUCCAGCCCAGCCC